rnacentral:rRNA from 1 species
UACGUAGGGGGCAAGCGUUGUCCGGAAUCAUUGGGCGUAAAGAGCGUGUAGGCGGCCAGAUAGGUCCGUUGUGAAAACUGGAGGCUUAACCUCCAGCGGUCGAUGGAAACCAUCUGGCUAGAGUCCGGAAGAGGAGAGUGGAAUUCCUGGUGUAGCGGUGAAAUGCGCAGAUAUCAGGAAGAACACCCGUGGCGAAGGCGGCUCUCUGGGACGGUACUGACGCUGAGACGCGAAAGCGUGGGGAGCGAACAGG